rnacentral:rRNA from 1 species
CCUACGGGAGGCAGCAGUGAGGAAUAUUGGUCAAUGGACGAGAGUCUGAACCAGCCAAGUAGCGUGAAGGAUGAAUGCCCUAUGGGUUGUAAACUUCUUUUAUAUGGGAAUAAAAUGUUCCACGUGUGGGAUUUUGUAUGUACCAUAUGAAUAAGGAUCGGCUAACUCCGUGCCAGCAGCCGCGGUAAUACGGAGGAUCCGAGCGUUAUCCGGAUUUAUUGGGUUUAAAGGGAGCGUAGGUGGAUUGUUAAGUCAGUUGUGAAAGUUUGCGGCUCAACCGUAAAAUUGCAGUUGAAACUGGCAGUCUUGAGUACAGGAGAGGUGGGCGGAAUUCGUGGUGUAGCGGUGAAAUGCUUAGAUAUCACGAAGAACUCCGAUUGCGAAGGCAGUUCACUGGACUGCAACUGACACUGAGGCUCGAAAGUGUGGGUAUCAAACAGGAUUAGAUACCCGUGUAGUC